AAGUCAACAACUGGGAUGUGUAUGGUUUUAGAUUCUCCUUUAGCAUACAACCUUAUCCAGGUCUCAAAUUGAAACCUCGAAGGAAAUGAAGUGGAGCUCGGGUUGGUAAGUCGUUCAUCAUCGAUCAUUAGCAUGCACUAUAUAAUGGGGAGCAUCAAUCAGAAGAUAAAAAAAGAAAAAGGGGCCAAAACUUUAUAUGCUCUAGGAAACCGAAGCAACAAGCACAUAGUGGCAUGGGAAGAAUUUGAAGCGCCCGAUGUCGGCUGAUCUCACGCAUGUGAUGUGACCAAUGAAGAUUAGUCAUUUGUGAUGAUGAUGUGAGGGAAAAUAUACCUGCUAUGGUUUCUUGCAAUGAGGAUACACAAGAAGUAAUUGCUACCAAAAUAUGGUUAAUAAACAGUAAGAUAAAACCUUGUGUUUUAACAAGGUAUUAUUUAAUUUUUUCUAUUGUUUGUGUAAAUAUCUAAACUUGGCUCUUAAAAUUUUUAUUUUUAGUACCAUACAUUGGUGGGAAACUGUUUGAUUUGCUUGAUGACCAUUUUCUUGCUUUUGAAGUCAAUUUGAGUCAGGUUAUGGUGUGCUUGGGCAGGGUUGGAGGUACAAGUAGGAGGGGGUGAAGCUAUGAAAUUUGUUGAAAAAUGGCAAGAACCCAAGGGAUUUAAUUUUUACUAGAUUACAUUGUGGGUACAAUUAAUUUGGUCUGCGCUGUGUUAAUGAAAAGACAUAGAAGCUAAGGAUGAGAAUUGGCAGGGGGCUGGCUUUGAGAGACUAGAGAAAACUUUCAUUUGGAGCAAGACACCAACUGACAUAGUGGAGUAUAUGGCAAGAUGAGUCUGUGUGAGUGCUAAUAGUAUUAAUAUUCCUAGAAGGUCAUUACAAUGGUGGAAGUUUUUAAAGAUUACAAGAGAAUUAUUAUUAUUUUAGCUGCAAUUUGCGUGUUAA